CCUAGCCUUUUAAUUGGAGGCCUGCAUGAAUGGCUUGACGAGCGCCCUGCUGUCUCUCUUCCCAUGAACUUUUAAAUUAACUUUCGCGUGCAAAGGCGCGAAUGGCUGAGUUAGACGAAAAGACCCUAUGCAUCUUUACUGAGAGAGAAGAAAGUUCUUUAGCUUGGUUUAGCUGGGGCAGCUGAGGAAAAGGCAAAAUUUCCUUAAUAUAAAUCAUACUGGUGGGUUUAGAUCCAGGCUCUUUAGCGGGCUUGACAAGUAGAAAAGUUACGCUAGGGAUAACAGCGUUAUCCUUCUGUGGAGGUCUUAUCUGCAGGAGGGAUUGCGACCUCGAUGUUGAAUUAGGGAUAUACCAGAAAGGCGCAGAAGCUUUUAUUGUGGGUC
rnacentral:rRNA from 1 species